UACGGGGGGAGCAAGCGUUGUUCGGAUUUACUGGGCGUAAAGGGCGCGUAGGCGGCCAACUAAGUCGGACGUGAAAUCCCCGGGCUCAACCCGGGAACUGCGUCCGAUACUGGAUGGCUUGAAUCCGGGAGAGGGAUGUGGAAUUCCAGGUGUAGCGGUGAAAUGCGUAGAUAUCUGGAGGAACACCGGUGGCGAAGGCGGCAUCCUGGACCGGUAUUGACGCUGAGGCGCGAAAGCCAGGGGAGCAAACGGG
rnacentral:rRNA from 1 species